rnacentral:rRNA from 1 species
UACAGAGGGUGCAAGCGUUAAUCGGAUUUACUGCGCGUAAAGCGCGCGUAGGUGGCCAAUUAAGUCAAAUGUGAAAUCCCCGAGCUUAACUUGGGAAUUGCAUUCGAUACUGGUUGGCUAGAGUAUGGGAGAGGAUGGUAGAAUUCCAGGUGUAGCGGUGAAAUGCGUAGAGAUCUGGAGGAAUACCGAUGGCGAAGGCAGCCAUCUGGCCUAAUACUGACACUGAGGUGCGAAAGCAUGGGGAGCAAACAGG